rnacentral:rRNA from 1 species
CUCCUGAAGAAGGCCAUGUCUUCCCUGUUACUACUUGUGGGAUGGGAGAUCUGGAAUGAAAGGAAUGCUCGUGUCUUCAGGAGCAAAGCGGCGCCGGUGGUGACUGUCAUGCGACGCAUCGAAGAGGAAGUUUCUAUUUGGGCCACUGCGGACGCUAAGCAUUUGCAUAAUGUAAUGCCGCCAGAGUAA